rnacentral:rRNA from 1 species
GACGAACGCUGGCGGCGUGCUUAACACAUGCAAGUCGAACGGAAAGGCCUCAGCUUGCUGCGGGUACUCGAGUGGCGAACGGGUGAGUAACACGUGGGUGAUCUGCCUUGCACUUCGGGAUAAGCUUGGGAAACUGGGUCUAAUACCGGAUAGGACAGCUGUUUAGUGUCAGUUGUGGAAAGUUUUUUCGGUGCAAGAUGAGCUCGCGGCCUAUCAGCUUGUUGGUGGGGUAAUGGCCUACCAAGGCGUCGACGGGUAGCCGGCCUGAGAGGGUGUACGGCCACAUUGGGACUGAGAUACGGCCCAGACUCCUACGGGAGGCAGCAGUGGGGAAUAUUGCACAAUGGGCGGAAGCCUGAUGCAGCGACGCCGCGUGGGGGAUGAAGGCCUUCGGGUUGUAAACUCCUUUCGACAGGGACGAAGCUUUUGUGACGGUACCUGUAUAAGAAGCACCGGCUAACUACGUGCCAGCAGCCGCGGUAAU